UUUCCGUAGGUGAACCCGCGGAGGGAUCAUUAUCGUACAAAAGGUGAGGGGCAUGCAAGUGCUGACACUGGCACAAAAGUCGUGCACGCCCGAGUGUGUCCUCUUGCAUAAUAAUCCCUCUCACCCUUUGGGCAUCACCGCGUGGGGACCCUUCGGGUUCAUCUCGGAGGGGGGCGCGCGUUUUCACAAAAACCCCCCUUUAAAAAGUGUCGACUGACGACAUCUAUGCAAUCAAUACAACUUUCAACAACGGAUCUCUUGGUUCUC
rnacentral:misc_RNA from 1 species